GACGAACGCUGGCGGCGUGCUUAACACAUGCAAGUCGAACGGAAAGGCCCUGCUUUUGUGGGGUGCUCGAGUGGCGAACGGGUGAGUAACACGUGAGUAACCUGCCCUUGACUUUGGGAUAACUUCAGGAAACUGGGGCUAAUACCGGAUAGGAGCUCCUGCUGCAUGGUGGGGGUUGGAAAGUUUCGGCGGUUGGGGAUGGACUCGCGGCUUAUCAGCUUGUUGGUGGGGUAGUGGCUUACCAAGGCUUUGACGGGUAGCCGGCCUGAGAGGGUGACCGGCCACAUUGGGACUGAGAUACGGCCCAGACUCCUACGGGAGGCAGCAGUGGGGAAUAUUGCACAAUGGGCGGAAGCCUGAUGCAGCAACGCCGCGUGCGGGAUGACGGCCUUCGGGUUGUAAACCGCUUUCGCCUGUGACGAAGCGUGAGUGACGGUAAUGGGUAAAGAAGCACCGGCUAACUACGUGCCAGCAGCCGCGGUGAUACGUAGGGUGCGAGCGUUGUCCGGAUUUAUUGGGCGUAAAGGGCUCGUAGGUGGUUGAUCGCGUCGGAAGUGUAAUCUUGGGGCUUAACCCUGAGCGUGCUUUCGAUACGGGUUGACUUGAGGAAGGUAGGGGAGAAUGGAAUUCCUGGUGGAGCGGUGGAAUGCGCAGAUAUCAGGAGGAACACCAGUGGCGAAGGCGGUUCUCUGGGCCUUUCCUGACGCUGAGGAGCGAAAGCGUGGGGAGCGAACAGGCUUAGAUACCCUGGUAGUCCACGCUGUAAACGGUGGGUACUAGGUGUGGGGUCCAUUCCACGGGUUCCGUGCCGUAGCUAACGCUUUAAGUACCCCGCCUGGGGAGUACGGCCGCAAGGCUAAAACUCAAAGGAAUUGACGGGGCCCCGCACAAGCGGCGGAGCAUGCGGAUUAAUUCGAUGCAACGCGUAGAACCUUACCUGGGUUUGACAUGGAUCGGGAGUGCUCAGAGAUGGGUGUGCCUCUUUUGGGGUCGGUUCACAGGUGGUGCAUGGCUGUCGUCAGCUCGUGUCGUGAGAUGUUGGGUUAAGUCCCGCAACGAGCGCAACCCUUGUUCACUGUUGCCAGCACGUUAUGGUGGGGACUCAGUGGAGACCGCCGGGGUCAACUCGGAGGAAGGUGGGGAUGACGUCAAGUCAUCAUGCCCCUUAUGUCCAGGGCUUCACGCAUGCUACAAUGGCUGGUACAGAGAGUGGCGAGCCUGUGAGGGUGAGCGAAUCUCGGAAAGCCGGUCUCAGUUCGGAUUGGGGUCUGCAACACGACCUCAUGAAGUCGGAGUCGCUAGUAAUCGCAGAUCAGCAACGCUGCGGUGAAUACGUUCCCGGGGCU
rnacentral:rRNA from 1 species